UACGGGGGGGGUAAGCGUUGUUCGGAAUUACUGGGCGUAAAGGGCUCGUAGGCGGCCAACUAAGUCAGACGUGAAAUCCCUCAGCUUAACUGGGGAACUGCGUCUGAUACUGGAUGGCUUGGAUCCGGGAGAGGGAUGCGGAAUUCCAGGUGUAGCGGUGAAAUGCGUAGAUAUCUGGAGGAACACCGGUGGCGAAGGCGGCAUCCUGGACCGAGAUUGACGCUGAGGCGCGAAAGCCAGGGGAGCAAACGGG
rnacentral:rRNA from 1 species